CUACGGGUGGCUCCAGUGGGUAAUAUUGCACAAUGGAGGAAACUCUGAUGCAGCAACGCCGCGUGGAGGAUGACACUUUUCGGAGCGUAAACUCCUUUUAUAUAGGAAGAAGAUGACGGUACUAUAUGAAUAAGCGCCGGCUAACUCCGUGCCAGCAGCCGCGGUAAUAAGGAGGGCGCAAGCGUUACUCGGAAUCACUGGGCGUAAAGAGCGUGUAGGCGGAUUAAAAAGUCAGAAGUGAAAUCCUAUAGCUUAACUAUAGAACUGCUUUUGAAACUCUUAAUCUAGAAUAUGGGAGAGGUAGAUGGAAUUUCUGGUGUAGGGGUAAAAUCCGUAGAGAUCAGAAGGAAUACCGAUUGCGAAGGCGAUCUACUAGAACAUUAUUGACGCUGAGACGCGAAAGCGUGGGGAGCAAACAGGAUUAGAUACCCUGGUAGUC
rnacentral:rRNA from 1 species